UGCCAAUGAUGCAUCCAAAUGCAUGUAUUAUCAGAUAGAAUUAUGAUGAUAAUUGAUUGUCACUACCUCUGAGGCA